CCGCAAUUUGCACCCUGCCUGCUCGAAAGCUUCGUCCUGGGCCAGGCAUCUUGGUUUAGGGGAAGGAAGCAGCGAAUGGAGGAAGGUUAUGCAUUCUGCUGCUUCUGCCUCCGGAAGCUAAGUGCCUCCCUCUCUACCAUCUGAGCUAAGUACAGAGCUGCGCAGAUGGUUCUGCUGAGUUGGUGAGUUCAGGUUAGAUCAAGGGAAUGGAAUAACAGUGUCCCCAUACUAACAACGUUGGCUUUUGCCUGAAGUGUCAGCUACACCUAUUAUACUCAUAAACUGUUUCCUUUAAGGAGCUAUCUCUUGACUAUUGACCAUCACAAUUGAAUUUGAAAGUGCUUGGAUCUCCCCCACACCUAUGGACAUCUAAUCUUUGACAAAAGGGCCCAGACUAUGAAAUGGGGAAAGCAGAGACUCUUCAACAAAUGGUGUUGGAAACAAUGGGUUGAAACAUGCAGAAGAAUGAAACUGAACCAUUGUAUUUCACCAAAUACAAAAGUAAAUUCCAAGUGGAUCAAGGACUUGGGUGUUAGACCAGAAACUAUCAGAUACUUAGAGGGAAAUAUUGGCAGAACUCUUUUAUGCAUACAUUUUAAAGACAUCUUCAAUGAAACGAAUCCAAUUACAAAGAAGACUAAGGCAAGUAUAAACUCAUGGGACUGCAUCAAAUCAAAAAGCUUCUGCACAGCAAAAGAAACCACUAACCAAACCAAAAGACCCCUCACAGAAUGGGA